rnacentral:rRNA from 1 species
UACGAAGGGGGCUAGCGUUGCUCGGAAUUACUGGGCGUAAAGCGCACGUAGGCAGGUCAUUAAGUCGGGGGUGAAAUCCUGGAGCUCAACUCCAGAACUGCCUUCGAAACUGAUGAUCUUGAGUUCGGGAGAGGUGAGUGGAACUGCGAGUGUAGAGGUGAAAUUCGUAGAUAUUCGCAAGAACACCAGUGGCGAAGGCGGCUCACUGGCCCGAUACUGACGCUGAGGUGCGAAAGCGUGGGGAGCAAACAGG